rnacentral:rRNA from 1 species
UACAGAGGUGGCAAGCGUUGUUCGGAAUUACUGGGCGUAAAGGGCGCGUAGGCGGUCUUGUAAGUUCUGUGUGAAAUCCCUCGGCUCAACUGAGGAACCGCACGGAAAACUGCGAGGCUUGAGUUCGGGAGAGGGAAGCGGAAUUCCGGGUGUAGCGGUGAAAUGCGUAGAUAUCGGAAGGAACAUCAGUGGCGAAAGCGACUUCCUGGACCAAUACUGACGCUCAUGUGCGAAAGCGUGGGGAGCAAACAGG